AUUGAACGCUGGCGGCAGGCCUAACACAUGCAAGUCGAGCGGAUGAAGGGAGCUUGCUCCUGGAUUCAGCGUCGGACGGGUGAGUAAUGCCUAGGAAUCUGCCUAGUAUUGGGGUAUAACGUCCGGAAACGGGCGCUAAUACCGCAUACGUCCUGAGGGAGAAAGUGGGGGAUCUUCGGACCUCACGCUAUCAGAUGAGCCUAGGUCGGAUUAGCUAGUUGGUGGGGUAAAGGCCUACCAAGGCGACGAUCCGUAACUGGUCUGAGAGGAUGAUCAGUCACACUGGAACUGAGACACGGUCCAGACUCCUACGGGAGGCAGCAGUGGGGAAUAUUGGACAAUGGGCGAAAGCCUGAUCCAGCCAUGCCGCGUGUGUGAAGAAGGUCUUCGGAUUGUAAAGCACUUUAAGUUGGGAGGAAGGGCAGUAAGUUAAUACCUUGCUGUUUUGACGUUACCAACAGAAUAAGCACCGGCUAACUUCGUG
rnacentral:rRNA from 1 species